CCUACGGGAGGCAGCAGUGGGGAAUAUUGGACAAUGGGGGCAACCCUGAUCCAGCAAUGCCGCGUGUGUGAUGAAGGCCUUAGGGUUGUAAAGCACUUUCACUGGUGAAGAUGAUGACGGUAACCAGAGAAGAAGCCCCGGCUAACUUCGUGCCAGCAGCCGCGGUAAUACGAAGGGGGCGAGCGUUGUUCGGAAUUACUGGGCGUAAAGGGCGCGUAGGCGGUCUUCUAAGUUAGGCGUGAAAGCCCCGGGCUCAACCCGGGAACUGCGCUUAAAACUGGAAGACUAGAAAACGGAAGAGGGUAGUGGAAUUCCCAGUGUAGAGGUGAAAUUCGUAGAUAUUGGGAAGAACACCAGUGGCGAAAGCGGCUACCUGGUCCGAUUUUGACGCUGAGGCGCGAAAGCGUGGGGAGCAAACAGGAUUAGAUACCCUGGUAGUCCACGCCGUAAACGAUGUCUGCUAGAUGUCGGGGGGUUGCCCCUCGGUGUCGCCGCUAACGCAUUAAGCAGACCGCCUGGGAAGUACGGUCGCAAGAUUAAAACUCAAAGGAAUUGACGG
rnacentral:rRNA from 1 species